UACAGAAUGCUGCAUUUUUAUAUGGUCUUGGUUUGGUCUACUUCUACUACAAUGCAUUUCAAUGGGCAAUUAGAGCAUUUCAAGAAGUCCUUUAUGUUGACCCUAAUUUUUGCAGAGCCAAGGAAAUUCAUUUACGACUUGGCUUUAUGUUCAAAGUGAAUACAGAUUAUGAGUCUAGUUUAAAGCAUUUUCAGCUGGCUCUUGAGGGACUGUAAUGUCUGUACCUUUGUCCAGU